UGAAGUCGGAAUUGCUGUAAUGGCAGGUCAGCAUACUGCCGUGAAUACGUUCCCGGGCCCUUGUACACACCGCCCGUCACACCAUGAGAGUUGGGAAUACCCGAAGCCUGUGAGCCAACAAUCGAGGCAGCAGUCGAAGGUAGAAUCAAUGAUUGGGGUGAAGUCGUAACAAGGUAUC
rnacentral:rRNA from 1 species